AUUCUCAAUCUCCUCAAAGUUCUGAGCCUUCUGAUGCUCCUCUACGGGCUCGACCAUCCCUACAACAUCAACAAAAUGGAUGACCUAAUGUAAUGGAAUAUUGAGCCACUAAGGCAUCUUUACAGAUGUAUCUUAUUAAGCUGAAAUUCCUUUUUCAUCAACACAAACCAACCUACCAUCUUCAUCUUUUACACAGAACCAUCCUGGAAGGUCAUCACUGAAGGCUGGCAUGUGUGCACCCUUGGUAACUAGGCCAUCUGUUGUGGGUGUUAAAGGUCGAUUUGGCCUGUAGUCAACAAUGCAAACAAUAAUAUUAUCCUCAAAUGUAACUCAAGCAAAAUAUAUGAAAAGUUUGGUUUGACAAACUUUUUGCAUCUUGAUUAUGCAGAAUGUGAAAAAAUGUCUUUAAAGAUGUAGAUCCUGCAGGACCUAAAUAUUGGAAUUAAUUUCCUUUUAAGCCUUCUGAUAAGAAA